AGGUAAGUUUCUGGACUUGAUCUCAAAUAUUAAGAAAUGCCCAUGGAACGGAAUCUGGGAAUGGAAUGCUCUCAGGCAAGAAACAACUACAGCUGUCCCUCUGUAUCCACAGGGAUUGGUUCCAGGACCUCCCAGGGAUACCAAAAUCCAUGGACGUUCAAGUCCCUUACAUAAAACGGCAAAGAAUUUGCAUAUGACCUACACACAUCCUCCCAUUUACUUUAAAUCAUCUCUAGAUUACUUAAAAAUACCCAAUAAAUGCUAUGUGAAUAGCUGCCAG